rnacentral:rRNA from 1 species
UGAGGAAUAUUGGGCAAUGGACGCAAGUCUGACCCAGCCAUGCCGCGUGAAGGAUGAAGGCGUUCUGCGUUGUAAACUUCUUUUAUUAGGGAAGAAACCUCCGUUUUCUAAUGGAGCCGACGGUACCUAACGAAUAAGCACCGGCUAACUCCGUG